rnacentral:rRNA from 1 species
GAUGAACGCUGGCGGCGUGCCUAAUACAUGCAAGUCGAGCGGACAGACGCCGAUCUUGCUCCUCUGACUUUAGCGGCGGAAGGGUGAGUAACACGUGGAUAACAUACCUAUCACACUUGGAGAACUUCGGGAAAACGGAGCUAAUACCGCAUAAUAUAUUGAGCCGCAUGGUUCAAUAGUUAAUGACGGUUUUUCUGUCACUUAUAGAUGGACCCGCGGCGCAUUAGCUAGUUGGUAGGGUGACGGCUUACCAAGGCAACGAUGCGGAGCCGACCUGAGAGGGGGAUCGGCCGAACUGGAAGGGAGACACGGCCCAGACUCCUACGGGAGGAAGCAGUAGGGAAUCUUCCGGAAUGGGCGGAAGCCUGCUGAAGCAACGCCGCGGGGGGGAUGAAGGUCUGCGGCUCGUAAAACUCUGUUAUUAGGAAAGAACAAGUGUGUAAGUAACUAUGCCGGUCUUGACGGUACCUAAUCAGAAAGCCACGGCUAACUACGUG